GUACUGAGACACGGACCAGACUCCUACGGGAGGCAGCAGUGAGGAAUAUUGGACAAUGGGAGCAAUCCUGAUCCAGCCAUGCCGCGUGCAGGAAGACUGCCCUAUGGGUUGUAAACUGCUUUUAUACAGGAAGAAAAAGCCCGACGUGUCGGGUGUUGACGGUACUGUAAGAAUAAGGAUCGGCUAACUCCGUGCCAGCAGCCGCGGUAAUACGGAGGAUCCAAGCGUUAUCCGGAAUCAUUGGGUUUAAAGGGUCCGUAGGCGGGACAAUAAGUCAGUGGUGAAAGUCUGCAGCUUAACUGUAGAAUUGCCAUUGAUACUGUUGUUCUUGAGUUAUUGUGAAGUGGUUAGAAUGAGUAGUGUAGCGGUGAAAUGCAUAGAUAUUACUCAGAAUACCGAUUGCGAAGGCAGAUCACUAACAAUGAACUGACGCUGAUGGACGAAAGCGUAGGUAGCGAACAGGAUUAGAUACCCUGGUAGUCUACGCCGUAAACGAUGGUUACUAGCUGUUCGGGUUAAUUGAGACCUGAGUGGCUAAGCGAAAGUGAUAAGUAACCCACCUGGGGAGUACGUUCGCAAGAAUGAAACUCAAAGGAAUUGACGG
rnacentral:rRNA from 1 species